UGGCGGCGCGUCCGAGUGUGGCGCGGAUUCCCUUCGUGAACCAUGAUUGGGGGUCUUUCCUGGAACCCAGUUUUCUCCUCUUCCACCACCACCAGGCUUCUUCUUACACCUUCCUCCCAACUGGCCCUCUUCAGGCCAGUGACUGGUGUCUGAGCUGUUCUAGGAACGAGACUGUCAUCUCUCUGCUCCGGCUGCUGACCUCCUGACCUCCUUGCCCUCCCCCACCCCUUCUGCAGGAGGCUGUCCCAGGCCCCUUGGAUGCCGCCCCUCCUCUGCUGAUUCUCUCCCAUCUACCCUGCCCACAUAUGGUUUGUGCCCAGUUGCUCAGCGUUUCCCUAUGGGGUGGUGAGCUUCUCGAGGGCCUCUCCAGGGAGGGGACCUUUAAACCUCUCCUUGUAUCCCCAACACUUGGCAUAGUGCCGGGCACACAGCAGGCACUUCAUACAUGCUUGCUGAGAGGCUGAAUUUCUGAAUUCACCAGCUGUACAAUGCCAUCUAGCCAGUGGAUGCUGGAGGCACAGACGAGGGAAAAGGGACCUCACUGCCUCCGUUAUUUAUGUUGGAGGCCCAGAGUGGAGCUGGCCUCCCCCUCCAGGGGGGACUCCAUGAUGCAAGCCUCAGCUCCGGCCCCUGCCCAGCUCCCUUGUGUCCCGAGUCCAGACCUUCCUCGUGGCCCCAGGAAAACCGCAGACAGACAGGCCGGCCAUCGCAUGAUGCCUCCAAACCCUCUUUUCCACCUCCCUGCAGAGCAUCUGUGUAGGAUGUGUAGAAAUGAUAAUAAAUAAUGGAGACAGCAGGGA